rnacentral:rRNA from 1 species
GAUGAACGCUGGCGGCGGGCCUAAUACAUGCAAGUCGAGCGAACGCACGAGAAGCUCGCGCUCUUGAGGGUAGCGGCGGACGGGCGAGUAACACGUGGAUAACCUACCUAUAAGUCUGGGAGGACAUCGGGAAACCGGUGCUAAUACCGGAUAAUACUUCGAACCGGAGGAAUCAAAAGAGAAAGAGGGCCUUGCCGUCUGAUAUAGAUGGAGCCGCACUGCAUUAUUGAGUUGGUAAGGUAACGGCUUACCAAGGCAACGAUGCGUAUCCGACCUGAGAGGGUGAUCGGCCACACUGGAACUGAGACACGGUCCAGACUCCUACGGAAGGCAGCAGUAGGGAAUCUUCGGCAAUGGGCGAAAGCCUGAUCGAGCAACACCGCGUGGGUGAUGAAGGUCUUCGGAUCGUAAAGCUCUGUUAUUGGGAAAGAACAGAUGUAUGUGAAUCUGUGCCCGUCUUGACGGUACCUAAACAGAAAGCCCCGGCUAACUUCGUG